UACAUGUUAUUAAAACUUGAACUAAUGCAUUGUGAGUCUUAUAAAUUGCUUACAUACCUCACCGAUUUCUGCAUGUCUGGAAAACGCUCGGUUUAGUUCCUGUCUCCGCCUCCCAAAAUGUCUAGUGUAAUCGGAUUGGUCAGAUGACUACUCAACUGUUAUUGGUCAGCUGGGUUCGGCUUGUGUUUGAAAGGUUACGCCCCUGACUACGCGUGGGUUGACACAGAUUCUGACUGAGAGUCACAGCCUCAGAGGCAUCGUAAACAAGCGUUAUAUUUCUCUAUAAACGAUGGUGUCUGUACUGCCUUACCACUUCGAGCUCGAUCCAGAGAGUUCAGAAGGCCGUUACGAUAUAAACGAUCUCCGUCAAUGAAUGCGAUUGGAUUUAACUUUUUUAGGUGUCCUUAGCUCUGCCAGAAUGCUAAACGAAGACGAAAAUGUGUUGCAAAGACAUCCAAAAGGUUUUAAGGAGAAUGCAACAGGUUCCAGGGCCUCUUACCUGCGUGAUUCAUCAUCCAGGUUUUGCACAAAUUGUCUAAAUCCCUACACACAGAACAUUUAUUGUACCGACUAUAAGCCUUUGAGGCGCAGGACUAGAAUACGCUUGGAGCUUCCUGAUCGGAAUGUUGGCUUCCGACGACCCCUGCACUGAAGAUGGCAUGCAAUCACGUCCUCCUUUGAAGGUCUCUCAAACUGUGAUGCCAGGUCCAUUGGAAUCGGGGUUUCCUUCAGCUUAUCUUCAAAUACCUCAGCAAACACAAGCCUGAUCACAUCCUCCACAUAACUGUAGAAAUAUU